UACGUAGGUGGCAAGCGUUGUCCGGAUUUAUUGGGCGUAAAGCGCGCGCAGGCGGUCUCUUAAGUCUGAUGUGAAAGCCCACGGCUCAACCGUGGAGGGUCAUUGGAAACUGGGAGACUUGAGUGCAGAAGAGGAGAGUGGAAUUCCACGUGUAGCGGUGAAAUGCGUAGAGAUGUGGAGGAACACCAGUGGCGAAGGCGACUCUCUGGUCUGUAACUGACGCUGAGGCGCGAAAGCGUGGGGAG
rnacentral:rRNA from 1 species